rnacentral:rRNA from 1 species
NAUAUGGAGAGUUUGAUCCUGGCUCAGAGUGAACGCUGGCGGCGUGCCUAAUACAUGCAAGUCGAACGGAGAUUAAGUAGCUUGCUAUUUAAUCUNAGUGGCGCACGGGUGAGUAAUAUAUAGCUAAUCUGCCCUACACUAGAGGACAACAGUUGGAAACGACUGCUNAUACUCUAUACUCCUUCUUUACAUAAGUUAAGUCGGGAAAGUNUUUCGGUGUAGGAUGAGGCUAUAUCGUAUCAGCUAGUUGGUAGGGUAACGGCCUACCAAGGCUAUGACGCGUAACUGGUCUGAGAGGAUGAUCAGUCACACUGGAACUGAGACACGGUCCAGACUCCUACGGGAGGCAGCAGUAGGGAAUAUUGCUCAAUGGGGGAAACCCUGAAGCAGCAACGCCGCGUGGAGGAUGACACUUUUCGGAGCGUAAACUCCNUUUCUUGGGAAAGAAUUAUGACGGUACCCAAGGAAUAAGCACCGGCUAACUCCGUGCCAGCAGCCGCGGUNAUACGGAGGGUGCNAGCGUUACUCGGAAUCACUGGGCGUAAAGGACGCGUAGGCGGAUUAUCAAGUCUCUUGUGAAAUCUAACGGCUUAACCGUUAAACUGCUUGGGAAACUGAUAAUCUAGAGUAAGGGAGAGGCAGAUGGAAUUCUUGGUGUAGGGGUAAAAUCCGUAGAGAUCAAGAAGAAUACCCAUUGCGAAAGCGAUCUGCUGGAACUUAACUGACGCUAAUGCGUGAAAGCGUGGGGAGCAAACAGGAUUAGAUACCCUGGUAGUCCACGCCCUAAACGAUGUAUACUAGUUGUUGCUUCGCUAGUCGAGGCAGUAAUGCACCUAACGGAUUAAGUAUACCGCCUGGGGAGUACGGUCGCAAGAUUAAAACUCAAAGGAAUAGACGGGGACCCGCACAAGCGGUGGANNNNGUGGUUUAAUUCGANNNUACGCGAAGAACCUUACCCGGACUUGAUAUCUAACAAAUCAUCCAGAGAUGGAAGAGUGUCUGCUUGCAGAAAUGUUAAGACAGGUGCUGCACGGCUGUCGUCAGCUCGUGUCGUGAGAUGUUGGGUUAAGUCCCGCAACGAGCGCAACCCACGUCAUUAGUUGCUAACGGUUCGGCCGAGCNCUCUAAUGAGACUGCCUUCGUNAAGGAGGAGGAAGGUGUGGACGACGUCAAGUCAUCAUGGCCCUUAUGUCCGGGGCGACACACGUGCUACAAUGGCGUAUACAAUAAGACGCAAUAUCGCGAGAUGGAGNAAAUCUAUAAAAUACGUCCCAGUUCGGAUUGGAGUCUGCAACUCGACUCCAUGAAGCCGGAAUCGCUAGUAAUCGUAGAUCAGCCAUGCUACGGUGAAUACGUUCCCGGGUCUUGUACUCACCGCCCGUCACACCAUGGGAGUUGAUUUCACUCGAAGCCCAAAUACCAAACCGGUUAUGGUCCACAGUGGAAUCAGCGNCUNGGG